rnacentral:rRNA from 1 species
GAUGAACGCUGGCGGCGUGCCUAAUACAUGCAAGUCGAGCGAACAGACGAGGAGCUUGCUCCUCUGACGUUAGCGGCGGACGGGUGAGUAACACGUGGAUAACCUACCUAUAAGACUGGGAUAACUUCGGGAAACCGGAGCUAAUACCGGAUAAUAUAUUGAACCGCAUGGUUCAAUAGUGAAAGACGGUUUUGCUGUCACUUAUAGAUGGAUCCGCGCCGCAUUAGCUAGUUGGUAAGGUAACGGCUUACCAAGGCAACGAUGCGUAGCCGACCUGAGAGGGUGAACCGCCACACUAUAAGUGUGACACGAUCCAGAGUCCUACUGGAGGCAGCAGUAGGUAAUCUUCCGCGAUGGCCGAAAGCCUGACGGAGAAACGCCGCGUGAGUGAUGAAGGUCUUCGGAUCGUAAAACUCUGUUAUUAGGGAAGAACAAAUGUGUAAGUAACUAUGCACGUCUUGACGGUACCUAAACAGAAAGCCACGGCUAACUACGUG